AUUGAACGCUGGCGGCAGGCCUAACACAUGCAAGUCGAGCGAGCGGCGGACGGGUGAGUAAUGUCUGGGGAUCUGCCCGAUAGAGGGGGAUAACUACUGGAAACGGUGGCUAAUACCGCCUACUAUCGGAUGAACCCACAUGGGAUUAGCUAGUCGGUGGGGUAAAGGCUCACCGAGGCGACGAUCUCUAGCUGGUAUGAGAGGAUGAUCAGCCACACUGGGACGGAGACACGGCCCAUAUUCCUACGGUAGGCAGCAGUGGGGAAGAUUGCACAAUGGGCGCAAGCCUGAGGCAGCCAUGCCGCGUGUAUGAAGAAGGUCUUAGGGUUGUAAAGUACUUUCAGCGGGGAGGCGUUACCCGCAGAAGAAGCACCGGCUAACUCCGUGCCAGCCGCCGCGGUAAUAC
rnacentral:rRNA from 1 species